CCUUAUUUUCUUGUAGGAUACUACACAACGUUGAAUCCCAGCAUUAAAAGAACUGGUUGUUUUGGGUGGCAGACACAUGGUCUAGUGAUGGAAGGAAAGUUUUUCACGCGUACGGUGGGGAUCAGAAGAGGGAUUGCCUCUUGUUUCUCACACCAUCUACUGGCAGGAAUGCCACCUUAUUAGGUAAAAUUGCAGAUACAGAAACAGAUACUUGUGAUGCUGUUUUACAAAAUAUCAUGGCGAGAGCCGCUCUUCGCAUUAAUGAUGAGCAUCAACAAAGAGAACAAUCUGUUAAGUGGAGGAAAG